CGUUGGCACGUGCCUGCGUGCGUGUGCACGUAGUCGUUGAUGGAGGCAGGAAGCGAGAAGGAAGCGGGAAGGUGGAAGAGAUCGGAAGAGUUUCAAACAAGGCCCGAUUCUCCUGAGGUCAGCUCGAUUUGCUCUCUAAUCCUGGGCGACGCAGGGUUCAAGGAUCUUCUGAAUCUCAUCCCAUUGUAGGAACUCCUGCUGUGCUCAGAGAAUGUUGUUCAGAAGGGGAGACAGGCAAUAAAUAUAAGAUGAAGUUAUGAGGAGAGAAGCUAUUCAUAGCUAAAACUCUAGCUAAAAUGGCUAUUAUUUAUUGCACGGAACUGAAAUUGGAUGAAGUCGAGAAACCCAACGUACAAACCCAGAAGCUGAGAUACUACACAAGCGGACGUAUUUCAAGGACAAAUCCAAAGAUCCGUGUGCAAGUUGGCCCUGGUUCUAGCUUUUCGGUUCAUGAGAACUGGUGCGAGGAUCGACAAAGAACCCAGCUUUGGUCUGAAAGGAGCAGGCAGGUGAACAAAAUAAUCAAACUUGGUCUGUGGCUAGAAUGUACACCAUCGUCUCUUCCUGAGUCUUCAGCUUGCUGACUGCAGAUCUUGGGACUUGCCAGCCUUAAUAAUCACCCUGCUGUCAGGCUGUGAACAGUGUUUUGGAGAGGCCCAUGUGGCAAAGAACUGAUGUCUCAGGUCAACAGCCAGUGAAAACCUGAGGUCCACCAACAGCCAUGUGAGUGAGUGUGGGAUUGGAGCUUCCCUAGUCAAGCCUUGAAACGACAGCGGCCUCUGACCUCCUGAUGGAAGCCUUGUGAAAGACUCAGUGCCAGAGAACCCAACUCAGCUGUGCCUGGAUUACUGACUCACAGAAGGUAGGAGAUAAUAAACAUUUGCUGUUUUAAGCCUCUACUUUGGGUUAAUUUGUUAUGCAGCAACAGACCCUAACACGAGUACUGAAUCAGAAAUCUGUGCAAGGGGGGCCCUGGAAUGUGUAUUUUAACAUGUUCUUCGGUUGAUUCUCAUGCCUAGUAGUUUGAGAAGCUCUGCCGUGACUAAGUGAACAGCUAGGGCGGAGGGGAGGGGCUUUGGCACCCAGGCGGGCUGGGUUCAAAUCCUAGCUCAACUCCUUCUAGUUCUAAGAGCUAUGUGAGUUACGUAACCUCUCUGUGCCUCCAUUUCUUCUGUGAGGUAUUGCUAACAAUAGUACAUAUCUUUAGGUAAUAUAAAGAGGAUUAGUUGAGUUAAUAUACUUAAAGCACUUAGCAUAUUGCCUGGCAACAGUGAGUACAAUAAAUUUAGUGAAGAGUCAUUCAUUCAACAAACAUGUAAAGGGUCAGGCAUAAUUCUAGAUGCUGGUUACAAAGAUAAUAAGACAUGGUCCGCUUCUUCUGGGACUAUUCUCCUAUAAGGGAGAUAGGCAUAUAGAAGAAUACACACAAUAAUGGCUUAAAGAUGCUGGGAUUGACUUCUGGAGCCCAGAAAUGUCAGUUCUAUCGAGGAUGAAAGAAUUAAGGAGAGGCUUAAUAAGUGGGGUGGUUGGAGGGUUGGAAAAGAAUAGAGGAUAUGGGCUUGAUUCUCCCUCAGUGCCUCGCCUCAGUUUUUCUGAGCUUCCUUUGUUAUGUGGAAAACGAACAAACCUAUCGUCACAAACAGGUUCCUUUGGCAGAAGCUGCUUGAAUGCAGGACCUGGGUGUCUUAUUCACAAAAUGCCAGCCACUUGGUCCCGUUUCCUAUGCCUAGAUCAGGCAGCCUAGUUUAUCUGACCUUCAGAUGUUGGCAUCUGCUCUUUUGUCCCUCUGAAGGCUUCUCUUCCCACUCCCUCCCUCUGCUCCCCUCAGUCCUUGCAAGUCCUUCCUGUAUGGGCUUAAAUGCCUCCUCAAGGAAGUCUUCCUGAGUACUCUGUUUAAAUAACGCCUCCAUGUCAGGGCACUGUUUGUUUCCUGAGUAGCACAAGAGUUUGGCAUUAACUUAAUUAGUUUAUUUUCCUGCUCACCAUCCUCUCCCUGAGUAGACUUUACUCUAAGGGCUAACAUGUGGUCCAUUUACCUCACAUGGUGCAUGCCCAGUGCCCAGUGCCCUCCCUGGGACAUAGUAGGCAUUCAAUAAAUAUUUAUUGAGUGGUUAAAUGAAUGAAUGAACAUGUCCUUUCCCAGCCACUGGAACACUUCAGCAUGAUUUGUUGAAAUGUCAAUCUUAAUCAUGAAGGACAUUAAUUCAAAUUCUGGGAGACAAAACUGCUGAAAAAACAGAAUGUGAAACCGAGUCACUUUUACUCUAAGGGGCUGCUGGGGAAGUGGUAAGGGAUGGGGGGGGAGGCCAUUAUGCCAUUUAACAUUUACUAAGUCCCUCCUCCUAGGUGCUGGGUACUGAAUUAAGUGUUUUAUAUACAUUAUUUCACGUACAUCUGAAGUAGGUAUUAUCAUUGUGUAUGUGUGUUGGGGGGAUGAUGGGGAAACUGACGCUUACACCCCUUAAUGAAUUUGCCUGACGUCACAGCCAGUCCGGGGUAGAACUGUAACUGGAUCCAGGUGGUCAGGCUCCAAAGCUCUUUUGUUCGACAACUCUACUCCCCUGCCUCCAACGGAAUGCAGCUCAUUAAGUAAAUAUCCUGCACAAAUAGAAGUGUAUACAGUUGGACGGCUGUAAGACUGACACUGUAACACCCGACCAGACAGGGAAAUAUCAGAAAGGUUCUCCAGGUCACAGCCAGGAGGCAGUAUCCACGAUUACGGGAACUGGGCUGUGGGCCAAGCGGGAGCUCAUUCUCAGGGGCCCCUUCCCCCCAUCCAGGGCUCCUCCAUGUGGUCAGGACUACAGGAGAGUCCCACGCCCUCCAGGUGAUGUAAGUGGUCUCCCCCUAAAGCAGAUCUGGUGGGCUCUUAAACUCGAAAGGAUUAGCAUUCUCCUUGUCAAAGUAGCAUGGAAUUUAUAGCAAUCGGCAGUUCCUGUUGCAAAGAGUUCCAAGAUCAGACAAGCCAAGGGGGGGAGGGGUGGGUAACAGGUCAGAUGUGAGUUUAGAUGGAGAGGUGGUCAGGGGUGGGGUCGGGACAAGAACUAGUGGGGAGGAGACAUUUUACAAAGCAGUGAGGCCUGUCUGCAUUGUGCCUGGAGAAGUCUUUGGGGUUUCCCAUUAGCAACAAGUCCCCACAGGCCUAAAAGAACAAGAAAGGAACCAGGCUUCUCCAGGCUUAAAUAAGACUAAAGUCUGCAUUUUUUCCCCGCAUGGUAAGGAAUUAUUGGGCCAGCAGCUAAGGUAGGCUAACUCAGGCUAAAAUCCCCAGUAGGAAAGAACAAUUAGAGAAAUCAUGAAUUAUGGUUCUGUGGGCAAUUCCCUUCUCAAGGCUUACUUAAAGCCAGAAGGUAUAUUUUUAGUCUGCUUUUGUGACACUUAAAUAUUCAGAUUUUGAGAGAGACAAAGCGUAUACUGAAAUUUACAUAUAAAUGUACCAAAAUAUGUUUAAAUACUAGUCUUCUUCAUAACUUUCUCUUAUAGUUCCUGAGCUAUUUGCACUUCCACAAUGUGAUCAGUCUCUAGGAAAUGAAGACUAUAGGAGUGUAAGGAGACAGAAAUUGAGCUAGAAUUACUGGGAGGUUGAUGUCCUAGGGUGGACCUAAAGUUAGGCACAGUUUAUAAUUAGAGGAAUGGUUUUGUUUGUUUAGAUUGUAAGUUUUCAGAAUGAGUCUCCAGACAUGCAGAAUUUUGUAGACGUUAUGUGUGCGUUUUUACUUCUUUAGGAAGGCUAGUCUCCGUGAAAUUGACCUGAAGACUUCCCCUUAAGACUUCAAGAAUCUAGGGUUCAUAGGAAUAGAAGAAAUUUGAUCAGACAAGCUUGGAGCAUCCAAGGGAGCAUUCAAUGUUUGUUUGUUUGUUUGAGAGAGAGAGAGAGAGAGAGAGAGAGAGAGAGAGAGCGCACGCACACAAAUGCAAUUAGGGAAAGGACAGAGAAUCAGGGGGAGAGAGAAUCCCAAGCAGGCUCUGCACUGUCAGUGCAGAGCCUAACACAGGGCUUGAACCCACAGACUGUCAGAUCUAGGCCCGAGCUGAAAUCAAGAGUCAGAUGCUCAACAAACUAAGCCACCUAGGCGCCCUCUACAACGCACCAUUCAAAUAACUACCUCUAGAGUCCAUCUUAUAUACUGUGCUAAUAACAAGUUAUCCCAUGGGGUGCCUGAGUGACUGACGUUUGCAGAGCCUGCUUGGGAUUCUCUCUCUCUCCUUCUCCCUCUGCCCCUUCCCCACUUGCAUACUCUCGCUCUCUCUCUGAAAACAAAAUAUACUAUACAUGGUUCACUAACUUUUAAUUUUUGACAAUCAUGAAGUGCACUUAAAUCAUUGAAAUAGGACUAGACAUGAUAUAACUUCCCUCCAGCAAGUUGGCAGUUAUGAUCCUACGGGGUCUCACAGUUACCAUUGUGAGCAUCAGUAAUUAUUGUUCCAUAGUAACCUAGAACGGUCAGGUGAUUAAAAAAAUUUUUGCUGACAGAAGAUAAGACAAACUUGGUUCUAUUGGGUAUCAGAAGUUAUAAAAAGAAAAAAAGGGGGGGGGGUCAAGGGAGCAUUGACAGACCACUGCAUAAUAAAAUGUGUUACAGUCUAAUGGGAAACAUUGGCUCGAAUAGUGGGUGACUUCCUGAUUUCAUCACCUUCCAUAGUUGAUGUUUCCAUCUCUUAUUUUCUCUCUCUCACCCAUCUAUUAAACAGAUCUACACACGUUAAUAGGGACCCACACAAAUUUAGCCACUUCUUCCUCUAGUAAAUUAUACCAUAGAGCCAGAUUUAUUGUGAUCAUUUCUUCCCAUGUCUUGUUUUACGCCUGAGGUUUUACGCCUGAGGUUUGAGUCUGUAGAAGGCCAUGCAUUGCUGAAGGGAUGAAAGUCUUUGGAGAAAACAGAAGUUCCCAAGACAAGCUAGCAGGGCAGAAUGUUUGUGUCUUCCACCAGGGGUCAGUAAAACUUUUAUAAGACUCCUAGGAUGGCAUCCAGACUUCCAUAAGGGCAACAUCUUGGUCACUCUUUGUCCCUCAGAAAGCAUUCACCAACAAGGAGAUGUCCUGUCACUGGGAAUAGCAGUUCCAAGUUGUUAAACACGUACAACAAGCACAGUUAAAUAUAAAUAUAUAUGGCUUGGACUGUAUCAACUCUAUGUUAACAUCAUAGAGAGAACAUCAGCAUAUCAAGCACUGGAGUUUUAUUCUCAUAAAAAGAAUUCUCAAUUUAAACAUGCAGUUUUGAUAUAUACUAAGGCAAGCUAUCUUGCCUAAUUAGGAAUCACAGGCUGAAUGUCCAGUGACUAGACCUUAUGGCUCAACUCUGAUUGUCAUUAUUUCUGGGUCAUGAACACAAGACUUGAAGUUCUCCUUCCCUUCGUGGUUUGCUAUCCUGGUUUGCAAUAGUUGUUAUGCUAAGGAAUAAAGACUUUCGAAAAUAUGCACUAGAUACACUAACUUGCCUUCCUGCUUCCACUUUUGCCAUACUGUCAGCUAGAGGGAGCUGUGAAAAACGGAAGUCACAUCCUAUUACUCUUCUGCUGAAAGUCUCCAAGGCCUACCCACCCCACAGAAAAUAAAAUGCCAACACUUCACCCACCUGCGGUGCCAGGGCAUGCUCAAUUUCCUGCAACUUCUCUGAUGUUAUCUCGUGACCCUCUUCCCUGCACUCAGCACACUCCCAAAACAGUAGCCUUUCUGCUGAUGCUCUCAGUGGUUCUCAAAGUGUGGUCCCUGGAUCUGCAGCAUCAGCAUCACCUGCGAAGCUGUUGGAAAGGCACAUUCUUGGGUCAUACCCCCAGAUCUACUGGAUCAGAAAACUCUGGGGGCAGGCCCCAUCCAUCUAUGUUUUCACCAACCCAUCUGGUGAUUCUGGUGACUGCUGAAGUUUGAAAACCACCUCUAAUUUUUCAAACGCACUUCUGCCUCCAGACCUUUGUACCAGCCAGACACUUUCCCUGGUACACUCUUCCCAGGGCUCUUUCCUCAUCAACGAGAUGUCAGCUGAAAUGCUAGCUCCUCAGAGAGACUUUCACCAGCCACCUACUUAAAGCUGACUUAUAGAAAGGAGAUAAAUUAGACUCUCUACAGGGAGCUGCAGUAUUGUGGCAGAGCCCAGGGAUGGAGUCAGACGAUGAAUGUCAAAUUCUAAAUUCUCCACUUGAAAAUCACCUGACCUUGGGUAAGUCAUCUAACUAGAUUAGGUGAUUUUGCCUCCUAUGGGCAUUUGGCCAUGUCUAGAGGUGUUUUUGGUGUCAACCAGAGAUCCAGGUGGGGCUGGGACUGCUAUUGGUACCUGUUUGGUAGAGGAUAGGAUGUGGCUAAACAUCCUGCAGUGCACAGGCCAGCCCCCUGCAACAGAGAAUCCUGCCUGUGUCUGGCACCAUGCCUUAUACAGAAUAGAUGCUCAAAAAUAUUUGUUCAGUGAAGGAAGGAAGGGAGGGAGGAAAAGAAGGAAGGAAGGAAGGA